AAAUUAUUAUAUUCGACAUAAUUAUACAAACAUUUAAAUAUGUGAGUAACAUUAAAAAUAUAUAAUAAUUGUGUAAAAUAAAUAAAUAUAUAUAUAUAUAUAUACCUGCACGGUUGUGCGGGUGGAAAUCUAGUUUAAAUAUUAAAUUUUCUACAAAUAUGAAAACAAACCGAAUUUUACAUCUUGUCCUUAUACUUCUUUUAGUCAGUUAGAGAUGUAUAAGUUCAGUUAGUUUACACGUAGAUUAUAAAUUUAACAUUUAUUUUUCACAUUUGACCCCAAAAAAAAAACAUUUAUUUCUCACUAUUUUCUUAUAGAAAUAUUUUUUUUAGCAACUUCUUGUAAAAAUACUAACCAUCAACUUUCAGAUUUAUAAAACAUUAUAUAUUUUUUUACGAACAAUGGCUUGUGAAAUAUUUUAUUUUCAAAACAACUUAAGUGGUUUUUUUUCAAGAUUUGUGCAAACAAAUGAAACUUAGCAUCAUGUCACUACAAAAAAAGGAUCAUAUUACAUCACUUAAAUAGAAUCACAAAAAUAAAUGAUACUAUUUAGAAUUACUUAUUAGGAAAUGAUACAAACGAUGCGGUUAUUAACUUGUUUGGCAUCGAUUGAAUGAAAUUGAUGCAAAUCUUUAUUAGUUUACAUCACUUUUUGAAAAAUGAUAGAAAAUAUGAGUUUACAUCACUUAUUAAAUGAUUCAAAAGUAAAAUCAUUUUAAUAAAUGUUGCAAAUUUGACAUCAAUGAUAAAAAUGAUACUAACAUAAUUUUCAUUAGUUACUAAUAUGUACGUAGAUCAUUUCUGCUUAUAAACGAUUUUUUAUGCUUUGAUAAACUAUUUCGAAUUGAUUUAAUAAGUAAGCUACAUUAAUUGAUAUUUUUAAUAUUAAAAAUAUAACAUAUAUAUUAACUAAAUAAAGAAUCUGAAAAUCUAUAUUAAAAAAAAACAUUUUUAUACUCACUAGAAUACAUAUUUAAUUAAAAGAAAGAAAUUAUUCUAUUUUUUACAACUAAUAUUUUAAAUUUUCGACCUAAUUAAUAAAUGUUAAUAGUUAAUCUUAUAUAUGUACUGCGUUAAAUUGUUUUGUAAAGAAAAUUGUAAACCAUUAAAAAUCUAUAUGUUUGUUACCAAAAAUAUAGCAAUAUCUCCUAUUUUAUCUCACCACUAGUUCACGUUUCCUUCUAAUAAGAAAUCAACUGAAUAAAAGCAACGAUCCUUUACAUCUUUUUUGCAAAGUCUUUUCUUCCACACACAAUUCUUUAACACAGUUUAAGAGAGGUUGAAUCUGCAGAUCUGAAAUAAUAUUCUUGGAACCUUCGUGAAGUCUAUUAUUGUUUACCUCAGGAACCAUUGGUUAAGAAGAAACUAUUAGCUUAAAACCCUACAACCAACAGCAAAAGAUACAGAGAAUUGGAAGAAGAAGAAGCUUGAUCGAAGAACUCUUACGGCGAACUAUGUUUAUCUGUUUUUUUAAUUGUGUUCUUUUGUUUUCUUGUUUUUGUAAGUUUCUUAUUUUUAAUUGUAACAUCAAUGAAAAGAACAAUAAGAAAUCAUUAACAAUUAAUAAAAGUAUUUAAUUUAUUUA